rnacentral:rRNA from 1 species
AGAAAAAGUCACACCAUGCUGAAUGUGUCUGUUCCCAUCUGGUGUCUCAGUAACUAAGCAGGUUUGGGCCUAGUUAGUACUUAGAAGGGAGAAAUAGAGAAAAUUAACACUUGCUA